ACGGCCGCCGCAGGGUUGGCGGACUUGAGGAGGAGCAAAGAUGGCGGAGUGAGGUGCGUUGAGGCCCCCUGGCCUUUGGGCCAGGGGGAGGGCCGGACCCCGGGCGCUCGAGUGCUUCUGCUGGCCCGUGCGAGGAAGAACAUUUUCCUUGACUUGUAGGUGCUUUUAUAUUCAUCUCAAAAAGAAAACAAAAUUCUGAACUCAGGAUUUGGCAAGUUUUGAAUCAGAACUGUCUUGUCUUCAACCAGAAGAGGUUAUUCAAGGUAUUUCUAUGUUGUCUCCUGGAGUGGGGUUGUCCUGCUUUUAUCAGGCCACCUUCCCUAUUCUUGAAAUGUGGAUAUCUCUUCUCUAAACUUUACCUCCAUGAUUUGGACUGGAAAAGGCUGCUCUUCUUUUUGUUCCACCUCUCAGAUUCAAAGAAGAGAAGCCCCUGGGAUGCAGUCAUCCUGCUAACUUCUCUAGGAAGAAAGAAGCAACUGACGUGCAUCUUCUGCUGCAAUUUGCUUAAUCACAAAUAAUUUUACAAGCUGAAGGCUGAUAUCAUUUGAAACAGGUGCUUAGAUGGUGAUAUUUGUGAAUUCUUUACCUUUUGUUCCAGACAAGAAGACGAAAUAGCAAGCAUGCGUGACAUCAGGGUGUUUUUUUUAACGUCUUCCAGUUUUGCCACUGUUGUGAUAAGCACAGUUGAGACUUGCAGCAGUAAAUUCCAAAUAUGUGUUCUAAUUUGAAGUGAAAGAGAUGCUUAAAAAAUUACAUAUAUUUCUAAUACCUGGCUCAUCUUUUGGCAUAGAUUUACUGGAUAAGAACAAAGGUCCAAUUUUGCAGUAAAACCUUUGAUGUGAUAAAGAAGCAUAAAGACAAGAUAUCACAAGGUUAGUUGCAUAUGUGAGUACAUUAUCACAACUCUAUAAAUACACAUUUUUACAUGUGUAAGUCCACAUUUUUGGAUGAUAAGAGGGAUAUUUCUCCUGGAGAAGGAAGCUGUGGUGGACUUCUUUCUCAGAAGUCUUUGGAUAUAUGGUAUUUUUUAAUGUUUUUUCAUUCUUCUAAGGAAUAACCACAUUGUGCAGAUGCUAACCCUAUGAGUGCAUGCUUGAGUUUAGUGAAAAAUUGGUAAAAGGGAACUAAACAGUUUUGAGUCCAGGGAUGGAACCCUCUUCACCACCCUAGGAUGAGAAGCUACUGUAUUAAAAUUAGUUCAUUCUUUUUCGUGCAGUCUUAUUUAUAUAGCACUUGAGACUUGGUUUUACAUGCUGCUAAGGCUGGAAGAAAAGUGGCAAAAGUGGUUUUUCUGUUCAGAAGAUCUUGGGAUGGACCCUACAGUAUGACCUGCCUUCACCUUUGGACAUACAGGAGUGGAGAAAAAAACGAGGAAAGUUUCCAUAUUACUCCUUUCUCCUAAGAAGAAGAAGUGAAAAUGCUUCAUGCAGCUCUGUCUGACUUUAUGGCGUUUCACAUUCUAUAGCUUUGUUUUUUGUAAAAGGAUAAGUAACUUUUUCCCUUUGAUCCAAGAUGGGUUCUUGGGUAUUUGAUUUAUUUUUCUAGGCAAUAGGUGUAUGUUUGGCUGAAAAGGCUGGGACUGAGGUAACUUUCCCCAGUUGGAACUGAACUUUCUCAUCAGAGAAUGGGCCUCAGAAGAAAUGUUCCCAGACUGUGGUUGGGUCAGUGUAGAUUUAGAAGAAAUCCAGGGUCUGAAAAAACUCAAACAAGAAAAAUAGUUCCAGUAAGAAAUAAUGAAUUUCCUUUCUUUCUGUUAAAACUUAUAACUAUCUGAUGAACAGACUACAGGGUAAAGCCGUCCUUGCUUCCAAAUCAACAGAGGACCAUUGUAUGAAUUGCCAGGUGUUUACAUAAGAAGAAUGAAACCUUUAUAAGUUUUUGUAAGUAAAGAAAGAAUUUACAGCUGGUUAGAUGAAAUUAAGAACAAAUCAUCUUAGAUCACCUCUGUGAUACAGGGAAUGUUUGCCCAGGGCCAUGCAUGUUGUGCUGCUGAAAUCUUGGGGCAGAUUUACCAGAAUUUGAGAGUGAUAAAAAUAGCCAAAAAUUGGAAAUAUUGAGCACUCUUAAUGAUUAGUUAAAUUGGUCAACCAAUUUGAAUUGGCAUAUGGAAGCGUUUUAGUAAAAUAAUUACAUAAUAUAAAAUAUAAUUUCCUUUAAUUGGGGGCAAUUACUGAGUGGUAAAGCAUAGUAGAAGUAACUUGGAUAAAGGUAACUUAAAUUUUUCUCUGACUUCUCAGCCACUUCCUGAUGUUUUCUAUCAGUAUUUUGGAAUUGAUAAAGACAGAAUGGAACCUAUAUACAUGAGUCCCGUUGGUAUGCUGGGAAUAUCAUAUGGAGAAUUUGUAUCUUCAGUUGUCUGUUACCCAUCCUCCCCAUGUUUUUUUGGGCAACUUUUUGGGUAGGAUUGUUUGGCAGGGGAUAGAGACCCUCUACUGUCAGCACCAGUGAAACCAUCUCUGGCCCACUUGUUUGAAUAAUUGUGUGUGUAUCAGACUCAUCUUCUCCAGUUGCUUUACAUAUUUUCAUUUCAAAGCUAAGAGAACCACUGUUUAAUGCUUUCAGGUUGUUUCUGCAUCUGCAUCUUCCAUGAUUUUCACCAGAUGGCAUUUAACAAAAUGGGUAUAUUCCAGUUGUAUUUGCCCAGUGUUUACUUAAUACAUCUACAUUGUUUUUCCUGGUCUAUUUUGGUCCACUUCAUGAUGGCAAAAGCUAUAAUUUUAGGCAGGACUAUGCCUCAAUCUGUAGCUGUGCCUACUUCCUUUCCUUUGCUCAUCCAUGUUAGCUGGCAGUUUUUCUUUUAAAAAGUUGAACAAAAAUGGGAUAUGUGCAAUAGAAAUAUAUAUAUGUAUAUUUUAAUACUUGUGGACAGAUGUUACAAGUUGUUUAAGAACAACAAAAUCACCAAUGUCUUCCAUUUUGAGAUGUGUAUAGUUUUGUAAGCAUUAGUGCUUGGUAGCAUAUUGUAGUGCCAUGUUAGGGGUUAGUGCAUGAGCCUAGUAAUAAUUUAAACUUCAGGAUGAAUUAUUGAUAAUAACUAAUAGUGUAAAAAGAGUGGAAAAUCUAGACCUUUUCUUUUCUCAUAAAUAUCUGAAUCCGUGAUAUUCUCCCUGGGGAAAAGAGAUUAAGGCCAAAAAGACUCAUUUAUGAAUAGAAAUAUGGGGUCACAAGGUGAGAUACUGUCUUUGAGGAUUUUUAAGCUUUCCAUGAGGUAGGAAACCAAGUUGCCUUUGUGUGUUAUGAAACCUUAUAUCAAAAUGAGGCCCCAUUUCAUGAUUCUGCUUUGCUCUCUUUGAGGUGAGACUGUUCUUACACUGUUUUCACAUUGUAUGUCUUGUAGGUUUAUUGUUUUCCCACUCUUUUUGCAUCAGAUUAUUUUACAUUUUGCAUGUCUUACUGAGAUGCUAUGUUAAUUGCUCAAGUGAGUGCUUUUCUAAUCUGAAGACCAUUUAUGUUUCCUAUCUGCAGUAUGCUACAUGUUAACAGAAGAACACUGGUCAGUAGUUGAGUGUCCUAGAUUAAUUUCUCUUGGGCUUUUCCUGUUUCCAAAUUUGCUGAAUUGUGUAUUGAUGAGAUUCCAGACCUUUUCAUGAGAAUUGGCAAUGUAGCUAAAUGGAGGCUACCUAGGUUGCCAUGUAUUAAUAUUAACUAACUCCCUGCUUGGUUAUAGUAAAUUGCCUCAGACAGCUUUCACUCUUUUCUCUUUUCCUUGUAGAAAGAAAAGUUGUUUUGUUCUGAAAGCAUAGCUUUCUGUAGAAAAGAAAUUCCUACCUCUAAAAGCUUUCUUGAGAACUUGGAAAUGGCAGUUUUCUGGGGUGAUUUUUAAGUCUCAGUAUUAGGAGAGUCCAGGAUUUAUUGCCACAGAUUCUAUAGUUAGUAUGAUAGGAAAUGCAAAACUUUUUUAAUGUGGUGUGUCUUGUGUGCAGAAGCAGGCUUAAAGAAAUUGACUCUUGGGCAGCAAAUCUCGAGGGACCCAGGUUUAGAUUCUUAUAGUGUACUUAAAGUAGUUGUACUCCUGGUUCAAUUAGUUGAGUGCCUGGGAGAAUCCACUUCUGAAAAGCAUUUAAACAUUAAAAAAAAAACCUCUGAAAAGGUAAUGAAUGCAAAAUAGCACAGUAUAUAGGAAAGAAUAUUUCCUAUUGCAAAAAAAAAAGCCAUAAAACAAACAAUUUUCAAGAGGUAGAAUUUCAGUAGCAAUAACAGUUUUGCAUGUAUACUAAGUUGCGUUAGCAGGGUUGUACAGUAGAAUACUACUUGAGUUUGAGGCUCUGUGAUAACAGAAUUCCAUGAAAGGAAAAAGAUGCUGUAGGUAAAGAGUAUGUAAAAGGUACUUAAAAAAAAACAAAACUAUGAAUGUAUAUGAAUAUGUCAUUAUGUGAGAAAUCGCAACGUUUGUGCAAGUUAAAGGUUAAAGACCCUACUUGUUUGCUAGAGCAGAGGGUUAGAGCCAUUUAAGCUUUUCUGAUGCUUAACCUGGAAACGUACUCCUACUGAGUAAACCCCACUGAAGCUCAUCGUGUGGGGAUUUUGCUUAUGAUGUUUCUUUUAACAACAGGCAUUUAUAAAAUGGCAUACUUUUUGCUUUGUCACCUCAUCUUUCUCCAGUAAGUUUCCUGGGUACAUUUUUUAAAGAGAGAGAAAAGUUUGCUGUGUGUGUAUAUUUAGAGUUUAAAAAAACAGACUAAGAACUUGGAUAGCUGGCUUUUCCUCAUGCCUGUUAGUGUAGGGACGUUAGGAUUUAAAGGUAUAAAGCAAAAGGACUGAAGGGAAUGGCCAGAGACAGUACACUGUCUAAUGUAGAUGUGCCAAGGCCUGUGGCCUGUGAUUGCUUAUUUUAACAAGAACCCAGCAAACUAGUUUCUUGAUCUGAAUCAUACAGCUCUCACAUCAGGAUGUAAUAACGGAAUGAGGGUGACUUCUUACUCCCUUUUACCUCAUGUUCAUCUUGGCCAUUUAGCACCUUGAAGAUCCCUGAAAAAAUUGUGUCUGUGUUCCCUUGUUUUCCCAGGGGAGAAAACUGAAAGAUGAGUGGAUCUAAGAAAAUAGUGCCUCUUGAAUAUUAGAUUCUUAAAUGGCAACUCCAAAGGAUAGAGAGAAGGCUAUAUUAAAUUGAUUAUAGCUCCUCUUUAAAUGUCCUAUGUCUUCAGUUUUGUGUUAGAGACAUUGGAAUAACCAAGCAAUAUUCAAACAUCUGCACGAUCACGAGGACACCACUGCAUAUUACAGUGAUGUCAGUAACAGUUUAGUUACUUAGAACAAUUAAAGAUUACCCUUAAUAGCAACAUUCAUAGUUUUAAAUGCUCAAAUGUGCUACAAGUUUUUGUAGUCUCAAAGUAUGGUUGAUACUUUUCAAUGUUGUUUUGGUCUCAUGUUUACUCUUUGUGUACCUGUGAUAUGCAAAAUAUGAAGAGACCCUUGGCCUCCAGGAGUUUACAUUCUCAUGGUGCUGCUGGUGCAAGCAAAUUGCUUCUAGUUUAUUCAGAACAUUGCUUGGCUGUUAAUUAUACCAUGUUUGGAAGGAUUCCUUGGCCAAUAGUUUUCAAAAGCAGAGGGCUAUGCUAAACUUCAGGGCAUUGAUUUUUGAGUUUACAUUGUAUUAGCUCUGCUGUUCAUGAACUCCUUUUCCCCAGGGAGCUGUGCAGGUAAUGCUUAUUAAUGUGAAUCAAACUAUUCUGCCUAAGAGCAUCUUCAUCAUCUCUAUACCACCUAUGCUCUUCUAUGCCAUCACUGUCGGUAAAUGGCCAAGAAAACUCACUGCUCCAGAGGACAUCUCUCAGUACUCUAUUUUCCCAAAUUUUUUACAUCACUCUCUACCCAAAAGGACCAGAAGUUGCAAUUAAUCCUUUUAUAACUGAAUAGUGGUCCUAAUUUUAACCUUUUUGUGUGUGACUUUUGUACCUCUGUUCUGAAGCAGCAUUGUGAUAGAUGUGGAGCACCUGCCUACAUUUCUAAGCAAUCACUUUAUUAACCCACAUUUUCAGUUGAAACUUUGCAUGUAAUUUCCUCUACUUCCUCUGAGUCAAGGGGUUUACUCUGCAUGUUUAUUAAAAGUGGGUCUGGAUGGAAGUGCAAGCAAUAGUGGCAGGCCCAUAACUCUUAUUUUAGAGUAUAAUAUUCUAAUGCAUGGUUGAAAAUGUCCAAUGUUAUGUGGCUACUAGUAAUUAGAUAUAUGCAUUUAUUAAUAAUGAAGCAAUAGAGACUUAAACCACUAGCUUGAAUUUAUUGUUUGGAUUAUUUUCAUUUUCUAAGAUUAUCUUACUUCCAUUGAAAAUGGAAGCUAGAAGAUAAACAGGGGCAACCAUAAGACAUUCAAACUGUCAGGAAUAGAGCAUAACAGUGCUAACCCUCUAACCUCUUGCCUGGUUCCAUUAGUCCCCAAGCAUGUUUAAAAACAAAAGGCACAAACUAAGCAUGUUCAAAUAAAUAAAGAAGCUGCUAUGGCUAUAAUAGAAAGGUGCAGAGUUUCAGAAAGAGUAUGGAAUACCAGUGUGGAAGAUGUAGAGUAACUAGGGAUGGGGUUUGUCUGAUACAAUUUAUGUGGCUUAAGUUUGGAUCUCUUAAGACUAGAAUCUUGGAAGUGAAUAGAGGCAACAUGGACAUAUUUCAGAUGUUCCAGGAUUUUCAGGUAACUAGGUGACUCUUUGGAUGGUACUGGUAUUACCCAACCAUAAAAGAUCCUUCCAGCAAAGGAGCCCAUUCCAUUUUAUGGAAAUAGUCCUUAAAAUAUAGAUACAUCUGUGGUUUGGUUUUUCUGUUGUUACUGUAUUUAAGUUUUUAAAGAAAUUUUUUUAUAGCCAGAGUUUUAUCCUUGAUGUUUUGGUUAGACUUCAUAAUUUGUUGCCUAAAGCUUUUGAUGCCAGGUAGACAGGAGCAAGUUUUCCUGUUUUGUAAAAAAGAAAAACCUUGCUGUUUAUUUUCUUACUUGAUGAAGAAAAUAGAUCAGUUCAUUGUAGUAGCUUAAAAUUUUUUGAGAUUAUUCCUGACUUUGAAAUAACCCAUGUAAGUACAUGUGAUCAUGACAAGUAAUGUACACAUGUGAUUCAUUAUAUUUGAAAGAGACCUAAGUAGAAGAGAAUUCAAGGUUAGACUGGAUGAUUUUCACUAGGCCCCUUCCAGGUUUCAUGUUCUAUGAUUGAAAAAUAAUUUUUCCAAAAUUAUUUCAACCUCAUUUUAAUCUUCACUUUGAAUACCUUUAGGAAUGUUUAAGUGGAAUGGUAACUUUCCAGUAGUUCCUAAUGAAUAACUUAUAGUCCUUUUACCCAGUUCAGGAAGUGAAAUGUCAUAUCCCAUAUGUAAAGUUUCAGUUUGGUACUUAUCAAUAAAAUGUCUGCCAGACAAUGAAACCAGUAAAGAUUUAAGGACAGAGUUUCUCUAAUCUCUGUUCCUAUUAUUUCCACUAGGCCAUAUUAAAAUGUUAAUAUUAGAAGCCCAGACAUCACAGAUUUCUCCAGGAACCCAUACUCGUAAACUUUUUUUUUUUUUUUCCUGGUACGCGGACCUCUCACUGUUGUGGCCUCUCCCGCUGCGGAGCACAGGCUCCGGACGCGCAGGCUCCGCGGCAUGUGGGAUCUUCCCAGACCGGGGCACGAACCCAUGUCCGCUGCAUCAGCAGGCGGACUCUCAACCACUGCGCCACCAGGGAAGCCCCAUACUCGUAAACUUUUAAAGUCAAGAGUAGAUAUCUUAAGGUUAGAAUUUUCAAAAGAUUUUGUCUCCCCUGGUGAUGGUAUGCCAUGCCAUAAAGUAUAAUUUUCUCCCAGGGAUAAAUAUUCUGGCAAUACAUUAUCAUCAGUCCGUAAACAACAGUAAUAGUCUUGGCGCUUACCUUAAAACCACCUAUCGCUGGUAAUUUAAAAGAUUCAUGUUAAAAUAACCUUUGCAUAGAGUUUUACUUCAGUAGCUUUUGUUUUUACUUGUUCAGAUCUGCUUCAUUGCCUCAUUGGUAUAUAAGAUAAUGUUAAAAGAAUUCAUUGAAUGUUUGAAGUUUUACAAAAGGCAGCUUGCUUUCUAAUCUAUGCAUCUUUGGGAUAUUAGAAGAAAUAUUCUUUGCUGUAAAAAGGAACUGCUGUAAAAGUUGGAAACUCUGCGCCUGUGUACAUAUAUAUUUUGGCAAUAAAGCAGCAUGGGCUGAGAAUGCA